rnacentral:lncRNA from 1 species
CCUGUUUCAUUACCAGCUCUUUGUUUAUUACUUGUUGGCCAAGGUAUUGGUCCUAUUGCCCAAACAGGUAUUCCUAACUUUCGACGAAAAUAUGUUAAUCCAAGCUUGUCUAGACCUUCAAUUGUAUUGAAAAGAAUCCCAUCAGAGUUAAUCCAGUUAGGAAGAUUUUUCCAGUUGAAAUUUGUGUAAGGAUCAUUAGAAUCAGCUUCUAAUAGACUUGGAUUCAAUUGACUAACAUCAAGAUUACCACCUUCUUGAAAAUCAGGCAUAGUAAAAACAAAGUUUUCUGUCUUUUUAUGAGGCAAAUUUAGCCACAUAGAGUAAUAACAUGCCAAGCCAAAACCACCAGCCCCACUAAAAUGACAUGAAAAAUUCCAAAUUCAUGAGCUAUAUUUGCUGACCAUCCAAAAAACAUGUCUGAUAUAACACAAAGUGGCUUUUCAAUAAGACUAGAAAGAAGAUUUCUACAUGAAGGUCCAAGUGAAGAGGAAAUUGUUGCAAAAUGUACAGAGAGUUUAUAAGAAAGUGAAUCAGUGUUUUCAGUGUUUGGAGGCAGACCAUGUUCUGAACUAUUGAAUGGAAUUUCAACAAGGGAAAUAGAUGAAUUUUGAGGUAGAGAUGAUUUGAGUUUUUUGAUAUUGAGAGGUGUAUUCACAAAAAAUCUAUUGUAACCUUUUUUUUCUAAUUUAAAGGCUAAGGUUAAAAAAGGUAUAAUGUGGCCUUGUGCCAUGAAGGGGAAGAGAAGAAUUGUUCCUUUUUUCUUCUCCAUUUUUUUGGUUCUUUUUUCUACUAGAGAGAAAAAAUAAAGCCAAGAAAGUUAGACAUUUAUAGAGGGAAAGAGGAAAGUGUAAAAGCAAUUACUUUUUUUGUAAAAUUAUUCUUCUAUGAUAAAUAAGAAUAGAUCUUCUAAGAUUGUCAUAAUAAACAAAUUUUGACCAAAUAUUUAAAAAAUUUAAUACACCACAUAUGACAAAGAGUAUAAUGUAAAUAUUUACUUUUAUCAUUAAAAGAUUUUAUUCUCUUCAAUGGAAUAUAUUACACUAUUAGAUAUGCUUAAAAUUACUUUUUAUAUAAUAGAUAUGGACCGUCCUUCAACUUCCUUAUGUUUUUUAUUUCUUUACAUUUUAAAUCAUGUUAGUAAAAUUUUUGACUCCGCAAUUAAUGAUGACGAAGUCCAAUAUUUAGUAUUAUAAAAAGUAACAGAAAUCAAAGGAGAAAAACUACAAAAAGUAAUAAUAUUACUACUAAUAUUCAUAUUAUAAAAAGAAGAAGCUAAGCAAUCGAUUUAAAAGUUUUUAAAAAAUGUUAAAAGUAAUUGUUAUCGAGAGGCUUAGAGUCCGUUUUGAUUGACUUAAGAAAUAGUUUUUAAGUCAAAAAAAAGAAGUCAAAUUUAAAUGAUUUUUAAGUCAAAAAUAAAAAGUCAAAUUCAAAUGAUUUUUAAGUCAAAAAAUAAAAAACAGGGGAGACCUACUUUUGGUUUUUGACUUAUUUUAAGUUAUUUUUUACCUUGUCAAACACUUACUAACUUAUUUUAAAUUAUUUUUGACUAAUUUUAAGUUAUUUUUAUAUUUGUCAAACACUUUCAAAAGUCAAAAACGGACUUAAAAUAGGUUUUACUAUACUUGUAACUUAAAAGUCAAUCCAGAAAACUCUCUUUAUCACAUUUUUAUAAUCACAACACAACCUUUAAAAAAAAAACUUCUCUUUUUAAUCUUUUGAUUUUUCCACGAUUGUCAAGACUCCAGAGAAUAUUUUAAAUAUUUUUAAGAAUUUGAAUAUUUAAAUUUUAAAGACAUAAAAAUCACUUUACAUGAUGAAUCGAGUUACUUUAUUUAUUCCUUACAAUUAAGUUAAUUAGUGGAAUUGUAUAGUGCACAAAUGUAAGAAUACAAUAUUUUUCUAAAAUGUGUAAAACAUGUAGAUCAUUGACUUUUUCACUAUUCUCAAGAGAAUUGCUAGAGCUCAAUUUGCUACUCUACUUAACAAACUCUUUAUAAAAAGGAUAAUUAAGAUUUAAGCAAAGAUGAUAACUUUUGCCUGUUGGGGAUAUUUUAAGAACAUUUCCAUGUCUUGUAUUAUUUUCAAAUAAUGAAUUGAAUUCCAAGAUACAACAAUUUAAUAUAAUAUAUAUAUAUUACGGCAAUUGUGGAAAUGAGGGCAGGACUUGAUUAUUAUUUUCAGUUUUUUUUAUUGUUGGAGACUUGGUUCCAAUAUGAUUAUUUUCAAAUUUUUUAUAUUUUAAAAAAAAAAUCCAACUACAUUUUUUUGUUUGAAACAUCUUUAGGAAUGUUUUAAAUAGAGCAAUUUUCACAUAUAGCAAACAACAAAAUCAUAUUUGUAUGCUAUAACAAAGUUUGCAUAAUUGCGCUCCAUAGCAAACAUAUAUAUGUAUAAUUCGCUAUACAUAUACAAUUGAAAGCUAUGUCUAUUUCGCUAUACAUAUAUACAAAAAGAAGCAAUUGUAUAAUUCGUUGGCUCCUCUUUAGAUUUAUAUAAUUUCGCUGGCAGGCCAUUUGUAUAAAUUGUUGUUAGCCUCUCGUUUGUAUAAAUCGUUAACAAAAAUAUUUGUAUAUCAAAAAUCGCUCUCUCUUUCGCUUUAUACAAACAUAAAUUAUACAUUAUAUUUGUAUAAUCUGUGUUUGUAUAAAACGAGAAAGAGAGAAAGGCAAAAGAGUACUGGGCAGGGGAAUAUAUUUGUAUUGUAUAAUUAUAAGUGUAUAAGACGAAUAUAUAUGUAUUUGCAUGUGUAUAUACAAUUUUCUCUCGCUUUAUACAAACAAUAACACAAUUUAUACAAUUCUGUUGUAUAAAACGAGAAAGAGAAAGGCAAAAGAGAACUGGGCAGGGGAAUAUUUGUAUUGUAUAAUUAUAAGUGUAUAAGACGAAUAUAUAUGUAUUUGCAUGUGUAUAUACAAUUUUCUCUCGCUUUAUACAAACAAAAACGCAAUUUAUACAAUUCUGUUGUAUAAAACGAGAAAGAGAGAAAGACAAAAGAGAACUGGGCAGGGGAAUAUUUGUAUUGUAUAAUUAUAAGUGUAUAAGACGAAUAUAUAUGUAUUUGCAUGUGUAUAUACAAUUUUCUCGCGCUUUAUACAAACAGAAACGCAAUUUAUACAAUUCUGUUGUAUAAAACGAGAAAGAGAGAAAGACAAAAGAGAACUGGGCAGGGGAAUAUUUUUAUUGUAUAAUUAUAAGUGUAUAGGACGAAUAUAUAUGUAUUUGCAUGUGUAUAUACAAUUUUCUCUCGCUUGUAACUAUAAUUUUAUGAGUUUACAUAAGCAUAGUCAAUAUUUCUUUUCAGUAGUGUUUAUACACUUUUAUAUAUUAUGGUAUAAUAUAAUAUGGAUACACCAUAACUAAUGUAUCUACUUUGUAUAAAAGUAUAUUAAAAUAUAUCUAUCUCAAAUAAACAUGUAUAGUAAUGUAUAAAAGUGUAUAAAUAUCACUAGCUAUACUGACGAACUUGAUCUUCUAUGAUUUUCAGUUUCAAUUCUUGUUUAAAAUCAAUUCAAAUUUCCACCAAACAACGUUAAAUUUGUAGACAACCUAAUCUGAUGAACAUGAUCUUCUACGAUUUUCAGUUUCAACUUUGAAGAUUUUAACGGUGGAGACAAUCUAAUUUCUUACCAAAUGGGAUAAUGUUGGAUAAGAAAGGAAGAAUUGGGCUAAAUGGUGAUGCAAUAACUUUCUAAUGAACAUAGGGUGUAACAAUUUGUUUAAACAUUAAUUUACUUGAAUUAAUGAUUAGCGGCUAUUUAUUGAUUGAAUCUAGAGAUGCCAAACCUAUUUUCAAUUUUUCUCUAGUUAAUUCUUAUCCUUGAUGGAUUAUUUUGUUCUUCUUCAUCUAAUAUAUAUGAGGAUGCUUAAAUAAUGACUUAUUGAUUUGAUUGUAUUUAUGAAUCUCACAAAUAGUUUUACAAAUAGUUAAACAUUGACUUAUUUGAUUUGAUGAUGAUUGAACAUCAAUAUAUUGAUUUUAUUAACAUUUUGUCUUAAAGUAAUAUUGACUUCUUUCUCCCUUUCGCUUACAUUUCAAAAUACUAGAAAAAAAAAUCAGACAAUGAAGAACUAAAAAGAAGAUGUUUGAAACAUUAAUGAGAAGUUUCAAACAUCCUUAGAGAUGUUUCAAAUAUUCUGAUAAAUUAUUACACAUCUUGUAGGAUAUUUGAAAAUUCUUAGCAACAAUUUUAAUUCAAAAUCAACUCCAAAAAAUUUUAAUUUUUUGUGUUCAAACUCCAAAUACUAUUCCCAACAAUUUUAAAUAAUGCCCAUUUUAGAAUAACGUUAAAAUCAGAUUUUUAAAACUUGAAAGUUAGUUCAACAACAAUGUAAGCUAAGAAGUACGGUUCGUAUGUUGAUGCACGACCCAUAAAUACACCUUCCAAUGGACCUCUAUUUUUUCUUUUCAAUUCCCUGUAUUACACUCCUAUUUUUUAAAUUUUAUUUUUAUUUUGGAAAUCCUGCAUCACAACACACGUUAAAAACCAAACAAGAAAAUCAAAAAAUUUGGAUUGCCUCCAGUAGCACUUGAUUUAAUGUUACAGCACGAUGUAGGUACUACGUCAAUGUGGUAACUAUAGGUUGCAUUGUAUGCUCUUGGCAGCUCCAUUUGCUUACCAAUAUUGAAAGUCACGAUCCAAGCCGACGUGGUUGAGACACAUACUAAUAGAUAACCAUAUCUUAUUACCUAAAACAUGGUAUAACUAAAUCAAUAAUCAUAUUUAAAAAGCAUUAAGGCAAGAAUUAAGAGUUAAACAUAAUAAUAAGAAGUGCGGAAAGUCUAAAUUAUUACAUCCCCGAAAUUCGAAAGUCUUUGUACAUGAGUCUAACUCAAAUGUCUAAGAAUGGUCAUGAAACUAGCUAGAUAAAUAAAUAAACAAUGUCUGUAGAGAGUAGACAUUGAUCAUUUGAGCUUGAUUGGGAGUAGCUCACCCUUAGAUCUAGAGUAUUGUAGCUGCAAUAAAUGUGAGGUCAUGUGGACGAUUCUAGAUCACAAUCUGUACUAAAAAUUGUAGAAAUAGUAUCAGUACAAACACUAGACUAGUCGGCACCACAAGCCGACUAAGAUUUGUAAAAAUGUAUAUAAGGGUAAGUCAUAAAAUAUGUAGACACAUAGUCAAUAAAAUCGAACGAUCAAGAAGUCAACACCAACCAUAUUGAUAGACUCAUUCCGAACAUAUCAAGGUCAAUUGUUGGAAAAAUAAGUCCCCGCAAUAAAUAUAAUGAACACCACAAAAACUCUACACAAUAUAAGCAAAUCACAUAAAAUCAUUGAAAACUUAUCCAUACCGAUCUAUCAGUAUCGGCGUGACACCUGAUUUAUCACUCAUACUACUGAUCCAACACAUAUAACCACUCGUCCAUAAUCUCACACCAAACUCGAGUCACUCAUCAUCAAAAUAGAAUAUGUAUUCUUAUUCUCAACAUAUCUCAGUAUGCUCUCAGCUCAGUUAUCUCUCAUAACAACACAACACACAAUAUAAAUCACAAAUGCACAUCAUAAAUAUAAGUCAUAAAAGACAGUUUUAUAAAAUCCACAAUUUAUUUAUACAAUCAUUAUCAUCCCAAUAAGACUCACAUCACAUAAGAAGAACUAAUCAAAGUCUAACUCCAGGUAAAUUAUAUGCUACCUCAACCAAAGAACUUGAAUCAAACAAGCUCAUGUGAUCCUUCCUUUUUCUUAAAGUCUCUGGAUGCUCCAAGUCUAGAACAUAUAAAUAUAAGAAUAUUCAAUCAUCUUCUCUUCAAACAAUAGUCUUGGACAUUUUAACCCACUUAAUUUUUAUCCAUUAUCAAGGUCUAAUUAAUUCGUGGAGUUUCUACACAUUCACCCCUUGGGAGCAGUUUGUAUGCCCAAUGAAUCUUAAAGUUUUCAGAUAACUCUAGUUAAAGGGAAUAACCAUGAACCAUCAAUCAAGAAUCAUCAAUGGAUUAAAAAUACAAUAGUAAAAUUUAACAAUAAGAAGUUUGUAUUAAAAAAAAACUUAAAUUCAUAGACUUUGAAGGAAAAACCCUAACUUUGAUCUUACUAACUCAACUAAGAUUCUGCCGCCCUUGACUGACUUUCUAUUUGAUUGUACCGAAAAGUCAAUGAAUUAAGAUUGUUUUAUUGUUUCUUUUCAAAACUAAUAGAGGCCCUCGAUUCAAAUUUGAGAUGACUCAGUUAAAAUAUCACUCUUUUGAAAAAUUCUAUUGUUUCUCUUUGAAAAUUGAAGCAUUAUCCAAGUUGCCUAAAUCAUAAACAACAUAAUAUCACUCAAAGAGUUAGAAGAUAAUAUUAGCAAAAUGGCUUUAUUACUAAUCGAAUUGGAAAAAGUUGAUCAAUAAUAUGAUAUGUUAAACAAGAUGAAAGAGAAGGAACUUUAGUUAUGCUUUAAUUUAUCAAACAAGACCUUAUGGAGUGUUGAAUAAUUAAUUUUUUCCCUUUUUUUUUUUCACUAUGUAAAGUAAGAAUAAUUAUUCUUAUCUUACCUUUUAAUUUUAUUUUUAUCUAACCUUAUUAAGUUUGAUUUUUGCAGAUGAAUUUGAUAGCCAAGCUAGAUAACCCUUAUAUUAUUGAGUACAAGGAUGCAUGGGUAGAGAAGGUGUAUAUAUUUAUACAAUUAACAAAAUUUUCUAUAAGGACUUAAUAUUCUUUUAUUUAGUACACAUAUUCAUGUAGAAUGCUAAAAAAUAUUUAUGUGAUGUUAUACAUAAAUUAGGACUCCUUUGUCUGCAUUGUUACAAGCUAUUGUGAAUGUGGAGACAUGUAAGUUUCCUAAACAUGCCUAAAUUAGCACUAAUUUAUCUUAAUCAAUAAUAAUGAUGUAUUUCUUGAUAGAUUUUGAACUUGUUUUCAGGGCUAAUAUGAUUAGAAAAGCCAGAGGAACAUUUUUCCCUGAAGACGUAAGAAAAAUAAGAAUAAAUUUCCAACAAAACACAAAACGGAUUUUGAUUCAGUUGUUACUGGCCCUCGAUUACCUUCACUCGAAUCGUGUUCUUCACAGAGAUCUUAAAGUAUGACCUUUUUUAUAAAAAAAUUGUAGUGUUUUGGAGUAAUUCAUACUAAUAGUUUUCAUUUGCUUUGCCCCAGUGCUCUAACAUUUUCCUUACCAAAGUUGACGAAGUCAGACUUGGUAAGAAGAGUAAAUAGUCCAUAUAGUAAGUGUUUAUUUGCUGCAAAUUGUGUGUUGCAUAUGAUACUUGUUAUGUCUAUAGGUGACUUUGGAUUAGCCAAACUGUUGAAUAAAGAUGAUCUCGCCUCUUCGGUAAUAAACCCUCCCUCAUUGCAUUGCAAUGUUCUUGUUCAUUUUAUGCAUCUCAAUCAUUUCUUUCCAAAUUGGACGUCUCAAAAUAUAAUGUCACAUAAAUUGAAGCAGAGGAAGUAGAUAAGACAACUCUUAUUUAGUUGUUCAAUGUGAUGUAGAUUGUGGGUACUCCAACAUAUAUGUGUCCUGAGCUUCUAGCAGAUAUACCUUAUGGAUAUAAAUCAGACAUAUGGUCUCUAGGUAAAUCAUCAUCUUCAACUUAUAAAAAGUGCAAUUUUUGAAUUCUCAAUUGCGCGCUCAACAUUGAUUAUAAUGGUUUGCUUCUCAGGUUGUUGUAUGUUUGAAAUUUCUGCUCAUCAAGCUGCAUUUUGUGCUACGGUUAGUCAUUAAACUUUACGGACUAUAACAACUAUAAUGUGUUACAUUUUGUGACCAUAUGUGAAAUUAACUCGAAAAACAGGAUAUGGCUGGGCUAAUCAACAAAAUAAACAGAUCUACUAUAUCUCCACUUCCAACCAUAUAUUCUUCUACAUGGUAAGACGAUACAUCAAUUUCUCCUUUCCACAGUACGUUAUUGUGACUGUUUCAUCAAUUUCUUAUAUGGAUUUGUUCGUUCCAGGAAACGACUGAUUAAAAACAUGCUAAGAAAAAGCCCAGAACAUAGACCUACGGUACGUGUUACUACUUACAUUUUGUUGUAUGUAUGUUGCAUACAUAUUUACUGAUUCAUUACUUCUUGUGUCUGAAUAUAUAUUAGGCUGCAGAGUUGUUAAGGCAUCCACAUUUACAACCAUAUCUUGCUAAAUAUCAGAACUUGUCACCAGCAUUUGUUCAAGUAUGUUCUAAGAAGGAAUCAAAACAGAAUAUUCCUGAUCAAACUCGCGAGAAUUCAACUUCCAACGAUAUUAGACAAGCAAAACAACACGAGAACGUUGUGCAAUUGAUAUAGUUGUUCAUGAAUUCAAAGGUAAUACGUGUAAGAUUGAAAAAAUUAACGUUCAGACAAAGAAAAAUGGAAAUUUGGACAUAUCCGUCAAGAAAAGUGAAAGCACAAAUUCCAUAAGCUCUACAAGAAGUACCUUAACUGAUAAUACAAUUGAAGGUACAAUUCAGAAGAUUGAAAGGCCAAGUAAGGACAAGAAAGGUACAAAAUGCUUUUUUAAGAAAUCAGGAAUACCAAAACCAUAUGUUGAAGUUACUUCAAAUGCCAAUAAAGUUAGAGCAAAAGCCAUUAAUCAUCUAAGUACUAAUCAACAUACAGAAAAACGUGAUGAUCACAAACGAGCAUCGAGUGAUACUUCAGUAAUAAGCAAUGGAAGGGAAGAAGCAUUAGAGUCAUUACUUGAACUUUGUGCAGAGUUACUUAAGCAUAAAAAGCUAGAGGAAUUAGCUGGUGUGCUAAAACCAUUUGGUGAAGAAGUUGUUUCUUCUAGAGAAACAGCAAUAUGGUUGACAAAAGGAUUAAUGAAUCUUCAAAAUCCAAAGUGAAGAAGCUUAGAGUGCCUCCUAGGUUGUUAAGAUUUUUUUUGUAAUAUAAUAGCAUUGGUUUUUUUUAUUAUUUAAUCUUGUAUGCAUGAAGAUAAUGAACAUUUUAUUACUUUUCAAUCUAUUUCAUUUUCUAAGAACAAUAUUUUUUCAGUGAACAUAAAAAAAGAAAAAAAAAAAAAGAACGACUGACACAAAAAAUAAGAUAUAUAACAUACCAAAAAGUACUAUAUAAUAUAUUACAUCAAUUUGUAGAAAAUAAUAAUACUUCUGUUGUUUUUAUACGAACCAAAAAGUACUCUAUAAUAUACCACAUCAAUUUAUAGAAAAAAUAAUAAUCCUUCUGUGUUUUUUAUAGGAAGAUGUUUGGGUAAUAUGGAGUUUAAGAAAGAAAGAUAGACUUUUGGUUAAUUGAUUAUACAAUACAAUAUAUAACAUUGUAAUGACCAAUUUUUCAUUCCUAAAAAGUAGCAAUCAAGACAAGAAAAUUAGUGACAAGUAAUAGUGUAAUACUAUUUAAUUUCAAUGGUUUAUGCGGGGUUACAAUUCUUAUAAAAUUUAAUAUAAAAAUAUGUAAACCUCUUAUUGUUUUUUCCACGACCAUCAACUCAAAAGAUUUGCUUUGUUCUUAAAUCGAUAAAGUACUUGUUGGAAUUUUACCACAAACACGGAGCCGAGCUUUGAUCACAAUCCUGGAGGCACAAAAAAUUGUAGCUUGUCACGUGAAGACGAAGACUUCUUUGUAUACGGAAGACUUGUGGAUCACCACUGAAGAGGAGAGUUUUCCUAUUAUUUAUCCUUUUCUUUUUUUGGUUGUAUGGAGACCUCUUUAUAUAGGCACGAGUUAAGGCUUGAGGUAUUUUGGUAUCCAAGUAAUUCUAGUGGAUCUUGGGUUUGAAGAGCAUGGGUUGGGCUCGUCUUGUUAACUUAACAGACUGACCCAAAUGUAAUUGGACUUCAAUUAAGUCAUAUAUUUUUUUAUUAAUAACUAAUCUAACUUAUUAACCAAUAACUUGACUUGAUGGACAUAUUGGGAAUUUAAGAUUUAAUUCAAAAUUUAAUAUGAAUUUAUUUAAUAAAAUUUCAAUGUUUACACAUGCCCAAAAAUUCUUCAAAUUAAAAAUCGGUUCGAUUUAAUUUUUUUUCCAACUUAAUCGGAAUAGUGCGCGCAUACCCCUAAUAAAGGCCAAGGCAAUGUGAUUCCAGAAGUUAUUAUAAUUUAUUUCUAUUUAUUUUUAUUAUGUUGACACAAAAACUAUUACAUAAUGAAAUUCAUACAAUGAAAAAAAAAGUAAAAGAUUCAUAAUGACGUUAAACGUCAUAAUUAGUAAGAAUAUCAACACACUCCUUAUAUUUUAUAUUAGUUGAAUUUGUGAGGCAGUGCACACUUAUUAAGACAUCUUAAGAACAUAAUUUAAACCGUAUUUUCCACUAUUGUCCUUUGUGAAAUCAAUAAUGUAACUUUGUAAGUUGAUAAGGUUCAAAGGGACACUUGAAAGAAAUAAGAUUAAUUAUGUGGAAUUAUCAAAAUCAAAUCAAAUUUAUGAACAACAAAGGACUCUAUACCUUCACCUCUCAAUUGAAUCCGACCAAAUAACAAUAACCCGAACUCAAUCAAAAAUGAGAAAACCAAUUGAAUCCACUAAGAGGGUAACUCGAUGAUUGAUUAAACUAGAAGAAGUUAACACAAGCAAUAUCGGGAAUCCACCUUAAUCACUCAACUACAAUUACCAACUACGAACUACACUAAUGCUAGGUUUCACCUAGAAACUACAAACUUCAAAGCUCUCAAAUAUUCAAUUCAUCAUAAUCUUCAUAAUCUAACUUCUAAAAUGAAAAAGACUACUAUUUAUACUAAGAAAAUAAACAAGACACUUUCAUUAUAAUUUUACCCUUAUACUACCUAAAUCCAUCAUCAAUCUAACAAUAACUAGCCACAUGUUCAACAACCCAGACUUCAUAUGCGAAGGCCUAUACAUGCAAUCUCCAACAAUCCAUAAGAUAUAAUGUAAGUGAAGACAAGCCUAAAUACUCAGUUAAAAAGGUCUAGCUUAUCUGGGCACCAAACAACUGCUAAUGAAUUUCGGACAAAAGCUUUUGUCUUGGUGAGAGCAAAUCGUGAUGAAAGAGGAUCACAAUUCAUUGGAUUUUUACCUUCUUUGCGCUGAAAUCUCUUCACUUCAUUGCUCCCAGGAUACUAGUGUCUUGGGGGAAUUUUUGGGGUAGCCCCCAUCUGUUUUUCAUCUAGAAAGUGGAGAAAAAAAAAAAAGACAUCGUAUUUAGUUAAUUAGGUUCUCAUUCCAUCAACUUGAUAUAGAGUCCAUGAAGGCGCUAUAUCAUUCAAUGAUUUUUAUUCUUCAACUUGUGAUCAGAUUUUCUCUCUCUAUCAACUAAUUUAUUAGGGUCAGAAAGAUACCCAAAUUUUAAUCAUACUCCGAUGAACUUGGAUGUCCGAAGGUGUAACAACCUGAUUCCAUCGUUAUGGAAAAGCCAAUGGGGAAAAUUUUUGGGCCGAAAAACUUUUUGGUAGUAACUUGAAAUUUCCCAACCUAGUCCAGAUUUGGACGAAAUCGGAGCCAGUGAGGUCUAGGGAAAUUUGGUAACAAAUGGAAGAUCUAAUUAUGAUUUUGAUCACAUGAGUAGAUAGCUAAGACGUUAAGGAACCCGUAUGACUUUACGGAAUCGAAUUCGAACGAGUAGAACUCCCGAAAUUGAUCUUAGCGUGAACGGGUAUUUUUUUAGUGUCAUGAGUUGAAAGUGUGUUGUAAAUUGGGAUUUUGAAACACUUAAUUAGCUAUUUGUUUCCGUGAAAGCCGCUAGGAAGGGAUUAUUCCCGCCAGGGCGGAGCCGCUGUAGCAGGGUGAGUACCGAUGUAACGGGGUCAGACACGACUUAAGUCGGAAACAAACCCCAAAAAUGUUUUAUUCUGCACUUUUCGACUUUGAGAGCUAGGAGACGAUCCCAGGUGCUUUCUUGGCACCAUUCUUAAGGCUAAAGGUAAGAUUUUAGCUCCCUGAACCCAUUUUCGAUCCGUAGAAUGUAAUCUAGUGGGUAAUUAUCGAUGGGGGAGGGUUUUGAUCUGGGAAUCAUGGUGGAAAAAGCCCUAAUUUGGAUAUUGGGAUCAUGGGUUUGAUCUAGGGUUGAUAGGAUUGUUGGUAAGUCGGGUAAUUAGUUAUUGUUUAUUGAUUCCAGUGUUAUAUUAAUUGUUUAUAGACCAUGAACAAGCGGAACGAAUCCGAAAAGGGAAGAAUCAAGUUUCUUAGGGCAUUCAACCUUGUUUCGAGGUAGGUGAUAGUUGUGAUUCCAUGUGGUGUGACGUAUGCUUGUUCUUGCUUCAUUAUAAUACAUGUAUGUAUGAGAAUGUUGCAUUAUUGAUCACACUAAUUGUAAAUGAGGAUAGAUGAAUGAUGAAUGCCAUGAACCAUGAUUUGAUUGUAUGAUUAGGAGAGUGUACUUUGUGAUUGCGAUUGUGGCUUGUUGAAUGGAUCGGGUGUUGUGUUCCAUCACACUAACUUGGAUUGGUUGCCAUGUUUCGACAUAAAUAUGGGAUCGGUUGCCACAUUCUGGCAUAAACAUUGGAUUGGGUACCACAUACCAGUAUGCUAACAAUUUGGGUGUAGGUUCCAUGAGAGGACCAUUGAAUUGGGUUUUGUGAGAGGACCAUUGAAUUGUGUUGUGUAUCUACUUGUGAUGAUUACGUUCAUAUCUAAUAAUAAUUGAAAGAUUGUAUGUUGCUCUAAAAUGAUAACCAAUGUGUAUUAUUGAGAACGUGGAAUGUUACAUUGAUCCUGAAAAGAUGACUAAUAUUGUAUAUGUUCGGUAUAUGCUUGUUUUAUAAUGUUGUGGUUACUUGCAUGUGUUUCACUUAUUGGGAUAGCCGCGUGAUCCUAUCAGUACACUGUGGUUGUGUACUGAUACUGGACUUGCUUUUUCUUUGUUGAGUACAGGGCAUCUUCCGGCGGCUUGAUGAGUCCACAAAUUGGACUCAUUUAGGGCUAUAUUUUAAUAGAAAUUGUGUCCUCAAAUGUUUAUUUUAUCUCAAUAUCUGAUGAAAACCCUUUAAGUCUCAGGUAUUUGAAGGUUGAAGGAGAGCAUGGACACUGCUUCUCAAAAAGGAAUGAAAAGGCUGAAAAGAACGAAGAAAAUGAAGGCAUGAGGAUCACCGAGUCCACUUGGCGAGUCGCCGAAGGGUCUCACUUCACCUUUUGUUCCAGUGUGUUGAGCCCUGAAAGAAAGGAUCAAGUCGACGGAAAAAUGGAGCAAUCGACGCAUCGCUGAGAUGUUCCGCGAGGCAGUACUAUGUCGCCCAAUGACCCAGAGCACGACGAUACUGAAGGAUGGUGCAAGACGGCGAUGAACUACAUCAAGGGGUGAAUCGCCGAGUUAAUCGGCGAUUUCGACUAAUGUCGCCGAAUGGUCCGCUACAACACAUAUUUUCUUUAAAACUAUAAAUACUCGUAGAGAGUUUUAGCUUAGUAUCAGAGAUUUUUGGUGUGAAACAAUUAAUAUAAUUUUAGUACUUUUUUAUUUUGCUCUGAGUUUAAGAGGGUUUGGAAAACUUGAAGAAGAAGAGGGUUUCAUNNNNNNNNNNNNNNNNNNNNNNNNNNNNNNNNNNNNNNNNNNNNNNNNNNNNNNNNCAAAUCUUCAUACCCAUUUGAAUGCAAGCUCAUUUAGGUANNNNNNNNNNNNNNNNNNNNNNNNNNNNNNNNNNNNNNNNNNNNNNNNNNNNNNNNNNNNNNNNNNNNNNNNNNNNNNNNNNNNNNNNNNNNNNNNNNNNNNNNNNNNNNNNNNNNNNNNNNNNNNNNNNNNNNNNNNNNNNNNNNNNNNNNNNNNNNNAGGAUAUAUGUAUUUUAAUGGUGAUUUCACCUAGUGGUUGUGGUUUAAUUUAAUGGGUUUGCAGUUGAAAAUACAAAACCACCCAUGUGUUUUCGGCUUGCCCGAAAUGGAGGUCGCGAAACCAAGACAGCUAGGCUGAUGGCCUAAGGAGUGGGUCGACAUGAUAUUCAGCCCGAGAGGGUGAGCCCUACUCCCAUAUCCUAACACUCAGCUUGAGAGGGUGAGUGGGGUAAGGCGUAGGCUGGUCUUCAUGCGGCAAGUGGGUGUCUGAGAGGAACCCAUUUGAAACAGGGUAAGUUGCUCGAGAGAGAAUUUAUUCCCACGUAUAGCUUAGCCUAGUCACUAUUACUCUAUAAAUUUUCUAUCGAAAGGAUGUACCAAAUAAUUUAAAUUAAUCCGUAUUCCGGUCACAUCCCAAUAAUCCCCUCUCAUUACUUAUAAAUCCUUGUUUAUUUUGUUGUUUUUACUUACUAGUGACAAAACCCAUAUUGUUAAUUGACACUCUUGUGUACCCCCUUUAAUUUACAAUUUUUUAAUCGUUAAUGUCUUUAGCUACGACUAGUUAGAACUAAUUUUAUCUNNNNNNNNNUCUUGGGAACGAUCCCAACCCUUGGUUGGGUUAUUAUACUAUUGUAUGAUCGUAGACACUUGCAUCAAAAGUUGUGUUGUUUAUUACGCAAAACAUCAAAAUGGCGUCGCUGCCGGGGAGUGGUGUCACUUGAGAAUUCUUAGAUUAGUAGAAUUUUUGUUCUUCUUAGUUGUAGUUUACUUACUCAAUCUUUAGUUUUGUUUUGUUAGCUUGAUUAUAUCCAAACAGGGGAAGCAAGCGUGGCUAGCUAUACUUGGAAGCCAAUGGAGUUUCCUCCAUUAGAAGUAAUGGUGUUCCAAAAUCGUAUCCUCACCUUCAAGCAAUUGGAAGGUGAACGGAUCCACAGGUCAUGGGCAAGGUUUAAUGAACUGAUCAAUCAAUGUCCGAAUCAUGACAUUCCCAACGUAGCUCUCCUUGACUGUUUCUAUAGAGAUCUUGGUCCUGGUAACAAAAGGUUGGUAGACCAACUCAUUCCAGGAGGCAUUGCGAAACAGCCAUAUGUGAUAGCAGCUCGACUGCUUAAUCAAAUGGCUGAAACAAACCAAGAAGUAGAAAAAGACUUCAUGCUGGCCGCCCUAAUGACUCAGAUGGAUGAGUUGGCCAAAAAGAUGGUGAAGAUCGAAGUCCAGUGUAAGAGGAAGGAUAAAUACAUUCCCCUUCAUGAGCGAAGAAGUCUCAAGGACAAUGAGGUUAAAAGCCUUGAGGGAAUGCUCUCUAUCAUUCUCAACAAGGUGACUGAGCAAGAUAGAGAGCUGAAAGAAAUGAAGGAAGACAUUGAAUGAAUGAAGCGGAUGAUUUGGUCUCACUCCAGAGCUGUCUAGUUGCUCGAGAACCUCAUGGGUUAUGCGUCGCCCGAUCUCCACCGGCAACAAAAUGGGGGUUGCCUGGUGAUACCAAGGCUAACCCCAAAAAUGGAGUUUGAGUGUUGGCGUACGUCGUGCCACGAUGUUAACUAAGGCGCUAUUUGGGAGGCGUACCAAAACCUUUAUUGCUUUAUUGUUGUUUUAGAAAUAACGGUGUGUUGAAUGAACAGGUUAAAGUGUGGAGAGUGUGUGGAAAUUGCGUUUGGCGAACUAAUAGUUCCAUUCAGCAAAUCGCUGAACAGGUUGGCGAUCCUGAUGAAAACUGCCAUUUGGACCUUCUUUUUGACCGAAGGUCCUGUAAAACUCGGUGAGGUAAAUGAUCAUUCGGCGUGUCGCCGUCUGGAUCGGCGAGUGCGACUAAUGUCACCGAAUGGUUGAGAACUGGACGGUUUAUAACGGCCAAAAGUCCUAGAAUUUGAAAUCCUUCACUUUCCGUCGCUUUUAAUCUUCACAAACUCACAAUUCUUAUAUUCCACUAGUAUUUUGGUUGGUUGAUUUGUGCUCGGAGUUGGAUUUCUUUGCUGCCUAGCUUUUCAAUCACAUUUUAAUCGACGAAGAAGGUUAGUUCUCCAAACCCCGAGUUUACUUUCAAAUAGUUUGUACUCUUUUGCAAUGAUCGUAUCUUAUUGAUGUGUGUUGGGCCUCUCUGAUAAGAUUAGAAUGCUUAAAUGCCUAUUUUAAUUGAAAAAUCUUGCCCGUAUUGUUUGAUUGUCGAAUGCCCAUAAUUUUUGUGUGUUUUUAAUGAAUCGGGUUGUGAUUGCGUGUUGUUAGAUUGAUUGGGCGAAGUCUGAAUAGCCCACGUUUGUGCUAAAUGUCAAAAAUUUGCUCAAUAAUAGAGCGGGUGACGCCACUCUUAAGAGCAAAUAUCGUCAAAUGGCUAAAUUCGACAAAUCCGAGAGAAAUCUAAGUAUCCCGGGGUGAUGGUUAGUACAGGUCUUGUUUGAAUUUCGUUAGUGCAUGCUUUGAUUUUGCAUUGAAUUCGAGAAGAUGGAUUGAAAAUGGGCACGUUAGGCCAUUUGGCGAGUUAGGUCGAGCUCGCCGAAUCGUUCGGAGGUUCGCUCAUUGUCUACAUAUCACCCUUAUUUUCGUGUUAAAUUGUAUGUUUGAGUUUGUAACUUUUGGCGAGAAACCAUGGGUCGCCGAACGCACUCGACGACUCGCCGAAAGUACUCUUGAUCGUUCUUUAUUUGUACUCCUGACCCCCUAAUGCACUGUAACUUUCGGCAGACAAACCCAUGCUCACCAAAAGUAGUCGGCGAUUCGUCGAAAGGACCUUCCCAUCGCCCACUUGCUAUAAUUUGAAGCCAACCCUUUUGGUGAGCCCUAGUUAGCUCGCCAAAGAGGUUCGGCGACUCGCCGAUCCACUUGGCGAGUCUUCCUGCAAUAGAUUGCCUGUGUUUCUAUUUGAUUUUUCCCCUAACUCUUCCCAAUCGUUUGUAGGUAUGACUAAACCUAACAAAGCAGGUAGCAACACACCACUCCGAGGCAAAGAAAAAGGGAUCACAAUCAAUGAGGAUGCAACUGCAUCCAGGACCAUGGCCACUAAACUUUCCACAAUUAGUGGGAAAGGAAAGGACAAGGAUAAAACCGUUGAGCUAUCAGAUGCAAGUUUUGAUAGUACUGGUUUUUACACCAAUGACCCAACAACAUAUGAUAGUGAGGGUAUGGGUUCUGAUAAAGAUGAACUGAUGGAGGCACGGAGGAAUCAAGUACGAUCUAACAGCUGAACGACCCAUCUUGGGUCAGAAAUCCUCGAUCCACCACUCCGACUCCUCCAGUUCCAGAGCAUGCAAUAGUACUGGCACCUCCAAUACAAGGUCCCCCACCUAAAUUAACGAACAGAUUAAAGUCUGAGGGGCUGAGAACUAUUAUUGAGGAAAAAUGGUUGUCCAUAAAUUGAGUGAUGGAUAGGUAUCUCGAGAUAAUAGAGUGCCUAAAAUAUCACAAAUUUCAAAUCUUCACAAAACCCCAUGGCUCCUACAUACCAAGAUGGGUCAGAGAAUUUUACAAUACAUAUAGUACAUUGAUACCUCAACGGAAGAAACUAGUGUCGUCUUUUAAAGCAGUUCACUACGUGGUUGUCAGAGGGAGGAACGUAGCUUGUGACAGUGAAGCUAUAAACACGGCCUUGGGUAUGUCCAAUAAGAUUAAUGAUCAUUGCCAGCACUUGAUCAUAACAGAGAAGUUGGAUGAGAUGAAAAAGUGGUUUGCCCCGCUAAUCUCAGAUGACAAUGCUCUAAAAUAGUUAGCAGAAGGAGUUUCGAUUGCAAAGAAAGAUCUGAACGUAGCUGCAAGAUACUGGUUCGAAUUCAUCAGUAGCAUAACUAUGCCAUCACAGAAUGAAUCAAUCAUCCGCGUUGCUAAGGCAACAUGUCUUGGAUGCAUCAUAGAGAAAACCAAGAUAAAUCUAAGGAUGAUCAUUGCUUCUGAGAUCCAUAUGCGUGCAAAGCAGGGCCAGGCAUCUCUCCCUUUCCCAAUAUUAAUCACUGCAUUGUGCAAAAGAGCUCGGGAGCCUAGAGAUGCAAAGAAGGAUGUGAAAUUGGUUGUCAUCGCGAUUCUGCAUCCACCGAUGGAUAAAAUGCUCCAGUUUUCCAUUCUCAUAUGAGGCCGGAAAGUGGAUUGGGAACAGGUCGGCACGAAGUGAUUCAUCAUGCUCAAACAUGAGCCGAUCACUCGUUAGGGAUGGUUUAUAGAUCAUAAAAUUCCCACAAAUGGAAUGAAAAGUGGGUCCAUGUAAAUGAUCAAGACCUCGCAAACAACAAUGCUCCUUCCCCAUAUGGAGUUCGGAACCCAAAGGCAAUCAUUGAGUGAACUGUAUCUUUUUUGUGUUAGUUGACCUAAGGCCUCAACCGAUAUCCGAAAGAUCGAAGCCGAAUAUCUUAAGGACCAAGCGAAAAAGAAGCUGAAGGAAGCUGUGGUCACUGGAUCUAUACUUGCAGAGACACUUUAGCCUACUCCGGCCCUUGGGCCUUCAGGUAUAUUUGACGCCAUUACCACUUCUGCUGACCCUCCAGGUCCCUCUGCUGCUGCAUUACCACCUAGACCUACUGCUGUUGUUGACUCAUGUGAGCCGAUCACUCAGGCAUCCUUGAUUCGGAUGGGACAGCUCGCUCAAUCUGCUGAUUUCUGGGCUGCCAACAUAGAAAGCUUCAUUCCAUGAAUGAUUCAGGUUGCUCUCGAUGAUGUUGUGGAACCACUGAGCACUAUGAUUGAUGUUGUGGAAGCUAGGAUAGUAGUGUGUGAGAGCGACCAAGGAGCCACAGGAGAGGUGAUAGGCUUAAAGGCCGUCAUUGCAUAGAUGAGAAAAGAUGUGGACUACCUAAAGUCCACCGAUAUGUCCAUGAUCUUUGGAACACUUGAAAUUCUAGAUGUGCCCGAAAUGCCUCAGACCACCACAGGAUAUGGGAAUGGAAUAGAGUAAACAAUCGAUCCUGAAUCAGAGGCAGAGACUGACGAAGAGAUGUUUGAGGGAGUUGUAGCAGAAGAUAUAGCCGAGACUAAAGAAAUCAUGAUAGAUGAUAUUGUGCAGGCUUCCUUGGCAAAGGCUCCUGCUACUAGAUCCAGUGAAGUUAGUUCUUUUGGGGGUCACUCCGGGCACUGAAGCCCAGACAGAUGGAGCGACCAAUUAGCCAGGAUCCCCUCUUUACCUACCUCUUUGUCUUUCUUUAUUUUACCUUUUUGGAUUCUGUGGUUAAUUGCAUUUGAGGACAAAUUGCUUUUAUUUGUGGUGGGGUGAGGCCCACACCUUUUAUGUUGAUAGUUAUGUUCUGUGUAUAUAUUUGGGUUGUUCUGCUUUGAAAUUGUGUUUUAUCUAUUUUUGUGGAUGUUUGAGCUUAUGGCUCCUUUAAUUUUAAAUUGCAAAACGAUUUUGACCCUUUCGAAAAUUUUUGUAUUUUUCGCACAUUUUUGCCACCCUUUAUAUGCUAUUGAAUGUGACUGUUCUUUUACAAAAUUUAAGUCUCGGUUCUGAUCAAUAUCGAUGACUUGAAUAGUGCUCUCAAUCGAACGAACAUGAAUGUACGGCUACGAUGAGGCCAAAUGAAGUUGCAUAAACAAUAUGUGAACUCUUUGCACUUGUUAUGAUUAGCCAUUUAUCAAAUCGAGUCUCUUGUAAUGAUCAUUGCACAUUAGCGAAAGUGUGGAGUCUUGUUUGACUUUAGUGUCGAUGCCUUGUGUAAUGAUCUUACUUUGAACCAUGCAUGAUAGAUCCUAGAAUUUGCCCCGUCGGUCUGAUCAACUAAGUGAUGUUAUCUCUUGAUAUGAUCUUAGAAAAAUUCUAAGAGUGUGAGCCAAUUUGACAUAUACCUCUUUUGUGACCUACCCUGUAAGCGUGUGAUUCUCUUUUGAACACCACUUGAGCCUUACCUUUCUUUGGAAGAAACUUGAUGAAACCAUAACCUUUCUUAAUCCGCUACCAAUAAUCCUCUUGAAUUGUGGUUAGUUGAAUAGACAACUUAGGCCAAAAGCCUAAGUUGGGGGUGUGGUGAAAAGAAAAGGAGAAGUCAAGAAGUGCGAGGAAAGUCUCCUCAUAUCCAUGGUUUUAAGAAAAAUGGAACCCCUCCAUAUAAAAAAUAAGAAUGAAAAAGAAAGUUGUGGAAUAAAAGUACAAAAAGAAAUGGGGUUCUCAUACAAUCCAUGGAAAGUGAAUAAUAUGAUGACUUAUAAGCAGUAAAGAGAAUGAUGAAGGAAAAGGAAAGGAAGUGUUGUGAGCACCACAUUUCAUGAGGAUGAAAGUCACUGCGCCUAAAUGACCAUACAUUUGCACUCAGCCCCAUUACAAGCCUUGAAAAAACCUUUUUUAUCUUGAGUGAGCUGAAACAAAUGUUGAUCGAAAAAUAAGGGCAAACAUAUGGGUGAAAGCAUGCAUUGUGUUCAUCUUUGUGAAAGUAAGCGUUGCAUCUGAUUCCGAAGGUUUAAGCUGUGAACCAUCGUGUGAUUAUGGAAUCAUUCUUUCUGUGAGGACAUUCGAACACUUUGGUUGAGCUUGAACUUGCAUUUGAUGCAAGUAUUGUGAACAUGAGAUUAUUUGAUAUUAGUGAGUCACAACUUGAAUCUUUGAGUACACAUUUGAUCUUUGCAUAAGUAAAUUGAGUUUUGUUGUGUGUAUUCAUGAUUGAGUCUUGUGUAGCACUGUUCGAGACACCCUUUUUGAACGACUAAACUUGAGUUUACUUGAGAACAAGCAAAAGUUUAAGUUGGGGGUGUUGAUGAGUCCAGAAAUUGGACUCAUUUAGGGCUAUAUUUUAAUAGAAAUUGUGUCCUCAAAUGCUUAUUUUAUCUCAUUAUCUGAUGAAAACCCUUAAGUUUCAGGUAUUUGAAGGUUGAAGGAGGGCAUGGACACUACUUCGCAAAAAGAAAUAAAAAGGCUGAAAAGAACGAAAAAAAUGAAGGCCUGAGGAUCGCCGAGUCCACUUGGCGAGUCGCCGAAGGGUCUCACUUCGGUUUCUGUUCCAAUAUGUUGCGCCCUGAAAGAAAGGAUCAAGUCGACGCAUCGCCGAGAUGUUCCGCGAGGCAGUACUAUGUCGCCCAAUGGCCCAGAGCACGACGAUGCUGAAGGCUGGUGCAAGACGGCGAUGAACUACAUCAAGGGGUGAAUCGCCGAGUUGAUCGGCAAUUCUGACUAAUGUCGCCGAAUGGUCCGCUACAGUAUAGAUUUUAUUUAAAACUAUAAAUACUCAUAGAGAGUUUUCUCUUAGUAUCAGAGAUUUUUGGUGUGAAACAAUUAAUAUAAUUUUAGUGAUUUUUAUUUUUGCUCUGAGUUUGAGAGGGUUUUGAAUCUUGAAGAAGAAGAGGGUUUCAUCUUCAAGGAUUUGGACUUGGGUCUCUUGGAUUCUUCAUUCUUGGCCUGUAAAAAGAUUCAAAUCUUCAUACCUAUUUGAAUGCAAGCUCAUUUAGGUAUAAAUUUAUAUCUCUUGAUGUGUGGCUAAAAAUCCCAAUUCUUAGGGUGUGAUUUAGCGAAUAUGGGUUAAGAUUGUUGUUGCGUCUUGCUUGAUUAUAUAUUAGAUUUAGUUUAAUGGUGAUUUCGUCUAGUACGUAGUUGUGGUUGAAUUUAACAAAUUUGUAGUUGCAAAUACAUUUAUUUAUGUGUUUUCGACUUAUUCGAGAGAGAGAUCGUGAAACCAAGACUACUAAAUUGAUGGCCUUAGGAGUUGGUCAACAUGAGGCUCAGCUCGAGAGAGUGAACCCUAGUCCUAUAUCCUAACACUUAGCUCGAGAGAGUGAGUGGGGUAAGGCGUAUGCUGGUCUUCAUGCGGAAAGUGGGUGUCCGAGAGGACAUAUGAAACAGGGUAAGUUGCUCGAGAGAGAAUUUAUUCCCACGUAUAGCUUAGCCUAGUCACUAUUACUCUAUAAAUUUCCUAUCGAAACCAUGUACCCAAUAAUUUAAAUUAACCCGUAUUCCGGUCACAUCCCAAGAAUCCCCUCUCAUUACUUAAAAACCCUUGUUUAUUUUGUUGUUUUUACUUACUAGUGACAAAACCCCCAUUGUUAAUUAACACUCUUGUGUCCCCCCUUUAAUUUACAAUAUUUUUAAUCGUUAAUGUCUUUAGCUACGACUAGUUAGAACUAAUUUUAUUUUUCUUAUUAAUUCUCAAAACCACUCUCUUGGGACUCGACCCCAACUCUUGGUUGGGUUAUUAUACUAUUGCACGAUCGUAGACACUUGCAUCGGAAGUUGUGUCAUUGAUUAAGCAAAAUAUCACGGCUAUUGACAAACCUCGCUUAGAAGAUCAGUGAUCAAUUUGAAUUCAAGGGUGAGCUAGUUCUUCCGGGCUACCAUGAGUUCUCUUUCUGUUUAUGUCCACAUUUCGAACUUAGACUAGUUCUUUAGAUUUCUUAUGUUAGUUUGGGAUGGUACCACUUCUUGUUUAGACUUAUGGUUGAACUUUAAAUGUUUUGGUACAUUGACUUUCAGUUUCUAGGUAUUUAUUCUGCAUUUGUUUUGGGUUGUUAAACUUUUGUUGGAGUUUAUGAGAACUCCUCAUUUCUUUCCUUAGCAUUUAAAGUUGCUUUUGUAACCUUAAAUGCCUUAGUAUUUUGAUGUAGUUGGUUAGCUAAUUAGUAUAAAUGGUUCUCCCACUGGAGGGUUAGUGUGGGUACCACUCACGACGGUCUGGGUCGUGACAAAGUUGGUAUCAAAUCCCUAGGUUCAUUGAUCUCAUUCUACCAAAACGAGUCUAGUAGAGUCUUGCGGAACGGUACGAAGACGUCCAUACUUUUCUUCGAGAGGCUAUAGGAUUUUAGGAAACACUCACUUCUUUUUACUUCUUUGUGUUAUGACUUGAAUCAAUACAAAUUGGUAUAUAAGUGAUACAAAUUGGUAUAUUUCCUCCUUCACUCUAUGGUCCGUACUAGAGCAACAAAAGUGGUAACACCAUCACUAGCAAGAGGGGAUGUGUAUAGACUACCGACAGUUGAAUAAGGUCACUAUUCGGAACAAAUAUCCACUGCCUCGGAUAAAUGAUAUUUUGACCAGUUGCAGGGUGCAUCAGUUUUCUCUAAGAUAGAUCUAAGGUUUGGCUAUCAUCAGUUAAAGAUUAGGCCGAGGAUAUACCAAAAAUGGUAUUUAGGACCCGCUAUGGACAUUAUGAGUUUCUAGUUAUGUUGUUUGGGUUGACAAAUGCGCCUACAACUUUCGUGAGUUUGAUGAAUAGUGUGUUCAAACUAUUUCUAGAUUCGUUUGCUAUAGUAUUUAUUGGUGACAUUUUAGGUUUAUUCGAAAAGUGAGGAAGAGCAUGUCGACCAACCUCGUAUUAUUUUGGGUGUUCUUGGGAAACAAAAGUUGUAUGCGAGAUUUUCUAAGUGUGAAUUUUGUUGACUUCGGUUGUCUUUUUGGGGCAUGUAGCUUCAAGGGAAGGGGUAAUGGUAGAUCCCCAAAAAAUUGAAGCAGUAAGGAAUUGGGUCUGACUUAGUUCUGUGACUGAAAUUAAGAGUUUUGUAGGGCUCGUUAGCUACUAUCGUCGCUUGUGAGGGAUUAAGGUCAUAUUUGCAGAUUCAAGUUUAUAGAUGAUAACAUUCAAGAAAUUUUGGUAAGGGACGGUUAGAUAAUGAACACCAUUACUUUGGAAAAUGCAUUUAGUAUUGUUGUCAUAACAUGUAUGGGUUGUUUAGCGAAUGAUGAAAUUAAGUUAUGAUUAUUGAGGUUAGAAGCUAUACUAUGAUUUCCUGGAUUGAUGGUAUAUCAAAAAGAUUCAUGAUACGCUGCUCCAAUAGCAGCAAUGUUUACUUGGUUUAGUUAUGAAGUGUGUUAAAAUUGUGGAGAACCUGGGCAUAUGAGGAGGAAAUCAGCGAGGUCGUGGAGGCCGAGGAAUGGUAAUGCGGGUAGAGGAGUAGUGCAGCCAUGCAAGGAGGUUGCCCAUCAAGAUAACAGGGCUCAGUUUUAUGCCUAUCCGGGAAAGACCGAGGCUGAAGGUCUGAUGUAGUGAUCACAAGUACUAUUAUCACAAGUUCUACUUAUUCUUAUGUGUCCAUGUGAUUUGCCUCAGAAUUUGAUAUGAUUUGUGAUAUACUUAAUGCCCCAAUCCAUGUUUCUACCUCAUAAACAUGGGAUCGGUUGCCACGUUCCAGCAUAAACAUUGGAUCGUCUACCACGUACCAGUAUGCUAACAGUUUGGGCGUGGGUUCCAUGAAAGGAACAUUGAAUUGGGUUCCAUGAGAAGACCAUUAAAUUGGGUUUCAUUAGAGGACCAUUGAAUUGUGUUGUGUAUCUACUUGUGAUGAUUACGUUCAUAUCUAAUGAUGAUUGAUAUUGGAAGACUGUAUGUUAAUCUAAAAUGAUAACCAAUGUUUAUUAUUGAGAACGUUGAAUGCUACGUUGAUCCUGGAAAGAUGACUAAUAUUGUAUAUGUUCGGUAUAUGCUUGUUUUAUAAUGUUGUGGUUACUUGCAUGUGUUUCACUUAUUGGGAUAGCCGUGUGAUCCUACCAGUACACUGUGGUUGUGUACUGAUACUGCACUUGCUCUUUCUUAGUUGAGUAAAGGGCAUCUUCCGGCGGCUAUUGACAAACCUCGAUUAGAAGAUCAGUGAUCAUUUCGAAUUCAAGGGUGAGCCAGUUCUUUCGGGCUGUCAUGAGUUAUCUUUCUGUUUAUGUCCACAUUUCGGACUUAGACUAGUUCUUUCGAUUUCUUAUGUUAGUUUGGGAUAGUACCCCUUCUUGUUUAGACUUAUGGUUGUACUUUAAAUGUUUUGGUACAAUGACUUUCAGGUUCUAGGUAUUUAUUCCGUAUUUGUUUUGGGUUGUUAGACUUUUGUUGGAGUUUAUGGGAACUCCUCAUUUCUUUCCUUAGCAUUUAAACUUGUUUAUGUAACCUUAAAUGCCUAAGUAUUUUGAUUUAGUUAGUUAGCUAAUUAGUAUAAAUGGUUCUCCCACCGGAAGGUUAGCGUGGGUGUCACUCACAACGGUCUGGUUCGUGACAGAAGGAAACACCGACAUAUAGUUAUAGUUGAAAUGACUUUGAUUCUGAUGAUAAAUAAUGGAGCACUAAAGUGAGUUAGAACACAAAUUUCGUUCUUCUCUUACCGUUCCUCCAUCGAACGCUAGUACAGAAGGAAUGAAAUGGCUUAAGGGCUUUCACUGUAUAAUUUAAAACUAAGUAGAAAGGAAUCAAUAUUACCUCUAUAAUUAUAUAAUACAUGUGCAUUCAUAGAUGUACCAUCACUAUCAUCGUCAGUCAACCAAAAAGAAAAAUCACUAAAAGUAACAACUGCCAAGAUAUGCAUAGUAAUUCGAUCUUUUGAUCACCCAUUUAUGAAAUAUCCAUUUUAGGGGCUUACGUAUUAUACGCGAAAGAUUGGAUUGUCUGAAUCACUAGUGUUAUAUAUUGUGUUACGAUCGCUUCAUAUUGAUAAAAAGAAACACAAGCUGCUAGUGAGGUUGUGCUCAUUCUCCCUCUUCUUCCGCUUUACAACCGAAAUAAGGAACCUUCAAGUUCACCCUACAUGUUGAUGAAAUACCAUCAAAAGUGGCAUAAGAACCACCUGGAUUUCGUUUCUUUGAUAUAUAUAUCUAUUUGUGUAACAUCUCGCUAAUUGAAAGAACUAGAAAGAGUUAGAAUUGGAAAUAGUCAUUUUAGGAAAGAAUGAAAAAUCUAGAAAUUUAUUAAGUUAUGUUAAGUUUGAGUUUUUGGUCAACUUCAAAUGACCAUAACUCCUAGAUCAAGAUGAUUUAGGUGUGCUUCCAGAUACCAUAGGAAAUAUCUUGGAAUUAUCUUUCAAACGCCACCGAGUUUGCGCAAUUCCGAGUUCGUAUGAGUGAGAUAUGCCUAUUUGAAGUUGGGUUGUUCAAAUAAGGAAAGUGUAAACCGAAUUUUUGAAAGGUAUUUCAGUCUUUACCUUACCCAUUUAUUUAAAGUCGUUUUUAGGAGUUUAUUUAGGGUUUAAUAAGAAUUACACCAGUUUAGAAAAGUUGAAGUUCACGCUAGGCUUGGAGAAAAGAGAAAAGAUGAGAAAGGAGAAGAAAAGUCAAGAUUCGUCAAGUUCUUCAAGAAUCGCUUGUGGAUUUCGUCAAGGGGAAAUCCCUACAAGGCAUGUGAGAUCACAUAGUGUUGGGUUAGUUCACCCACGCGCCAAUCAUGAUUCAAUUCAGCGAAGUAUAUUAAUUUGAAAGUAAAUCUUAUGAGUUCUUGAUGAAAUUCGUUUGAAAUCUUGUGGGUUCUUGUCGUUCAAGUUUCUUGAGUUUGAUUCAUGAUUUUAGGUGUGAUUUCGAGUAGAAUCUGAUGUAUUUUGAUGGUAUAGUUGAUUCUAAGUGUUUGGGAAAAGAACCAAAUCAAAAUAGGGGGUUUUAGGGAUGAAAAAUGAAGAAGAAAAGUUAAUACCCACCUGGGCAAGGGACUGGGGAGCCACCCCAGGCAGAGUGCCCCAAAAGGGGCUCUGAAGUUUGGGCUCUGGGGCGCCGUGUCAUCCAGAGCGCCCCAACCCAACCCCUGAAGUUUUGCCUCUGGCGCCCCAAGUCGCUUAGAGCACCAGGGACGCCAAGUUUCUCACCCUUUCCCCCUUCUUUUCGUACUAGUUCCUUAGCAACGUACCUAUGUUUUCUAGUCGAUUUCUAUACUCUAAGGUACCUCUAAACAUCAAGAAAUCAUCCAUAACAUGAGAUCACGAACCUUGAAUCCAUAAUCAAAUUCAAGGAAAGUUAAGAUCAAAGUCAACAGAAGUAAGAUUCAAGUCAAGAACAGUUCUUAGAGUUUUCCAAAGUCUUUUCCAAAUGUUUUAACUUGGUUUUAAGACUUACAAUUCAAGUUGAGUAAAAAGUAAAGAGUAGAGAUUAAAGUUCAUUUCUUCAAAAGUAUAUGGGACUAUGUAUUCCCAAAGAGUUUAAAAUGUUUUCACAUUUAAACAAGAGAAGGAAACCUUGACUUCUAAAGAGCCUUUGAGCUAGUUUUCAGAAAAGAGUAAAUGCUUUCACAAUUAAGCAAGAGGGGAAACUUUAAUUUCCAAGAUAGCCUUUGAGCUAAGUUUUUGAGUAAUUAUCUCAAAUCACAGAAAGAAGUAUGUUUUUAAACAUAAGAGCUAAUAUCAUAUUUUGGGAGUAGUAUUGAGCACUGAUAUGGGGGAGAGUUCAGACAACUCUCAGCCCCUAUAAACUAUGUAGCCACCAUGGGUAGAAAAGGGUCAUACUUUUUAGAUGAUUCAUUUAGUGCUUUUUUGCAUAGACUAGUGGAUUCACUUAGUAGUUUAGGUUCUAUACAUCGGCAACGUAUAGGACGGCCCUGGCAGCGUGAGGCAAAAUGUUGAAUCAUCACAAUAGCUCUUAAGUGAUGGUUGUCGGUUAGAGAAACUCCCACAUCAAUAUUAUUUUAUAUUUUUAUAUACAUCUCAGAGUUUUAUUAUAUCUUUGAAUACACAUCAGAGUUACUAUUGUAUUCCUAAAUACACAGAGUUGAUAUCCAUGUUUUAAAAGCUUUUCUUUAUAUUGCAUUUAUAUUAUUUAUUUAUAUUGAAAUAAAUUCAGUUCAAUUCAAUUCAGUUGAGACCAGGUUUGUUCUUUCAGUUCCUUUCAAGCUUAUGCUUGUUUUAGAAUUCCCCUCGCAUACUCGUACAUUCAAUGUACUAAUGUCAUUUGGCUUGCAUUUUUUAAUGAUGCAGACACAGGUAACCAGGAUCAUCAUCCAGCGCAUCGUUGAUUCUAGUUGACCUCCAGAGUUGUUGGUGAGCCUCUUUGCUUCCAGAGGACUCCUUUUAUUGCUUUUCAGUAUUCAGUUCAUUAGAAUGUCGUGGGUCUUGUCCCGACAUCCCUCCUUAUUUUAGAGGCUUCAUAGAUAGUCGGACAGUUAGUUAUGAGUUUUUUAACUUUGUAUUUCAGAUGUUUUGCUAUGAGACUUGAGUAGCCAUUUUGGCUAGUUUGAAUGCUUCCUUUAAAGACAUUCUAAGCUUUUCACAAGUUCUUUAUUUGAGGUUAUUUCUGAGGUUUAAGUCUUCCGUUGAGUAAGUAAGUCAGGUCAAGCGUUUGCUUGGGGAAAGGAAUUAUUCUCGAGUUCCAAUCCAACCCAGGGUGUAGACUCGGGGAGUGACACACUUGGUAUUAGAGCACAAAGUUCAAGAGUCCUAGGGAGUCUAUGAUGUCGUGUCUGUAGAGUCCUAGUUAUCGGUGUGAAGCGCGCCACAUUUAUAAUUAGGAGGCUGCAACACUUAGGAAAUUAUCUUACUUCUUACAUACUUACAUUGUGCGAUUGAGUUCAUCUCUAUAAUGUUUCUUUCUAACUCGUGUUUGCGCGUAACCAAUUGUGAGAUGGGCUAUGGUCGAAAGGGACUUCUUGGGGCGAUUCUUCCCCAGAGAACUGAGAGAGGCUAAGGUACGAGAGUUCCUCACACUUAAGAGGGAUUCUUUGAGCGUGCAUGAGUAUAGUUUGAGGUACACACAACUUUCCCGGUAUGCUCCGGAGAUGGUUGCGGACAUGAGAAGCAGAAUGAGUUUAUUUGUUGCUAGGUUGUCUCGUCUGUCAAGCAAGGAAGGCAAGGCAGCUAUGCUAAUAGGUGACAUGGAUAUAGCAAGGUUGAUAGUCUAUGUGCAGUAGGUUGAGAAGGAGAAACUAAGGGAUAGAGAGGAGUUAAGAAACAAGAAAGCGAAGACAGGGAAUGAGUUCGGGCAGCAAAGAAAUAAUGUGAACCGGUAUUCUUUACAACUAAAGCAGAAGGGACCUGGACUAUCAUCUGCUAGUGCACCUGCACCCAGAAACAAAAGUGAGUACAAUAGUCAUAAUUUCAGAGCCAAACCUGCCUAUUCUCAGGGUAGUAUAGCUCAAGGGGAUAGUAAGCCUCCUACAUGUGCUAAGUGUGGUAGACACAACUUAGGGACAUGUCGUGAUGACUCCACUAGUUGCUUUAAGUGUGGCCAGAACGGUUAUUUCAUGCGGGAGUGUCCAAAGAACAAGCAGGGUAACGGUAAUGGGGGUAAUAGAGCCCAGUCUUCUUCAGUUGCUCCACCAGACAGAGCUGCACCUAGAUAAGCUACUUCAGGUAUUGGCGGAGCAACAAACCGUCUAUAUGCUAUCACUAGUCGCCAAGAGCAAGAUGAUUCGCCAGAUGUUGUCACUGGUAUGAUCCAAGUCUUUAACUUUAAUGUUUUUGCUUUGCUAGAUCCAUAAGCGAGUUUAUCCUUUGUAACUCCGUAUGUUACAAUGAAUUUUAAUGUUCUUCCUGAGCAACUUAGUGAGCCCAUCAGUGUUUCUACACCUGUUGGUGAGUCUAUUCUAGCAGAAAGAGUCUAUCGUGAUUGUCCCAUUUUCGUCAAUCACAAGAGUACCAUGGAUGAUUUAGUUGAGUUAGACAUGGUAGAUUUUGAUGUCAUUCUUGGUAUGGACUGGCUUCAUACCUGUUAUGGCUCAUUUGAUUGUAGAACUCGAGUUGUCAAGUUCCAGUUUCCAAAUGAGCCAGUCUUAAAGUGGAAAAGUAGUUCAGCAGUGCCUAAGGGAUGUUUCAUUUCAUACCUUAAGGCAAAAAAGUUAGUUUCUAAGGGGUGUUUCUAUCACUUAGUCUGAGUUAAUGACUCUAGUGUUGAGAUACCCCCUAUUCAGUCAAUUUUAGUAGUAAGAGAAUUUCCAUAAGUCUUUCCAAAUGAUCUUCCCGGAGUCCCUCAUGAGAGAGAAAUAGACUNNNNNNNNNNNNNNNNNNNNNNNNNNNNNNNNNNNNNNNNNNNNNNNNNNNNNNNNNNNNNNNNNNNNNNNNNNNNNNNNNNNNNNNNNNNNNNNNNNNNNNNNNNNNNNNNNNNNNNNNNNNNNNNNNNNNNNNNNNNNNNNNNNNNNNNNNNNNNNNNNNNNNNNNNNNNNNNNNAGAGAGAUAGACUACGGCAUAGACCUUCUUCCAGAUACUCGUCUUAUAUCUAUUCCGCCAUAUAGGAUGGCUCCAUCAAAGUUAAAAGAUUUGAAAGAAGAGUUGAAAGAUCUCUUAGAUAAGGGUUUUAUUCAGCCAAGUGUCUCACAUUGGGGUGCUCCGGUCUUGUUUGUGAGGAAGAAGGAUGGUUCCCUUAAGAUGUGUAUAGAUUACCGUCAGUUGAACAAGGUUACCAUCAAGAAUAAAUAUCCUCUCCCAAGGAUUGAUGAUCUUUUUGAUCAACUUCAGGGUGCCACAUGUUUCUCUAAGAUAGACCUCAAAUUAGGCUACCAUCAGUUGAGGGUAAGGGAAUGUGAUAUUCCAAAGACAACAUUCAGGACCCGUUAUAGUCAUUAUAAGUUCUUAGUUAUGUCAUUUGGUUUAACCAAUGCGCCUGCAGCAUUUAUGGACCUUAUGAAUAGAGUAUUCAAACCUUAUUUAGAUAUGUUUGUUAUCGUAUUCAUUGAUGACAUACUAAUCUAUUCAAGGAAUGAAGAAGAUCAUGCUAGUCAUUUCAAAAUAGUUCUCUAAACUUUAAAGGAUAGAGAGUUAUAUGCCAAGUUCUCUAAGUGUGAAUUUUUUAUUGAGUCUGUGGCAUUCUUAAACCACAUUGUGUCUGGAGAGGGAAUUAAAGUUGACACUCAAAAAUAGAGGCAGUGCAGAAUUGGCCUAGACCCACAUCUCCAACUGAUAUUAAGAGUUUCUUGGGGUUGGUUGUAUAUUAUAGAAGGUUCAUAGAGGGGUUAUCGUCCAUUUCAUCCCCUUUGACCAAGUUGACUCAGAAAACAGAGAAGUUUCAGUGGUAUGAAGUUUAUGAGAAAAACUUUUAGGAAUUGAAAAAAAAGGUUAACUACUGCCCAGUAUUGACUUUACCAGAAGGUACGCAAGGCUUUAUUGUGUACUGUGAUACGUCUAGAGUUGGUUUGGGUUGUGUUUUAAUGCAGAAUGGCAAAGUUGUAGCUUAUGCCUCCAUACAGUUGAAAGUUCAUGAGAAGAAUUAUCCAACCUAUGAUCUAGAAUUGGCUGCCGUAGUAUUUGCUUUGAAAAUAUGGCGCCAUUAUCUUUAUGGUGUUCAUGUGGAUGUGUUCACCGAUCACAAGAGUCUUCCAGAUGUGUUUACUCAUAAAGAUCCUAAUCUCAGACAAAGGAGGUGAUUAGAAUUACUCAAUGAUUAUGACAUGAGUAUUCUUUAUCACCCAGGUAAGGCUAAUGUUGUUGCUAAUGCUUUAAGCAGGUUCUCUAUGGGUAUUAUCACCCAUGUUGAGGAAGAAAAUAGAGAGUUAGCGAAAGAUGUGCAUAGGCUUGUACGAUUGGGAGUUCGACUAAUGGAUUCCACAAAAGAAAGAGUAGUGGUGAUGAAUGAGGUUGAAUCAUCAUUAGUGUCAGAAGUAAAAGAAAAUCAAGACCAAGAUCCUAUUUUGCUUGAAUUAAAGGCAAAUGUUCAUACGCAAAAAGUUUUGGCUUUUGAACAAGGGGGAGAUGGCGUAUUGAGAUAUCACAGUAGGUUGUGUGUACCAAGGGUGGAUAAGCUCCAAGAGAGGAUCAUGGAGGAAGGUCAUAGCUCCAGAUAUUUCAUUCAUCCGGGUUCCACAAAAAUGUAUUGUGAUUUGAGAGAUGUUUAUUGGUGGAGUGGUAUGAAUAAGGGCAUGGCAGAGUUUGUUGCUAAGUGUCCGAAUUGCCAACAAGUUAAAGUAGAGAAUCAAAUGCCAGGUGGUAUGGUUCAGAAUAUAUAACUUCCGGAGUGGAAGUGGGAGAUGAUCAAUAUGGACUUCAUCACAUGUUUACCACAGUCUCGCAGGCAACAUGAUUCUAUUUGGGUGAUUGUUGAUAGAAUGACAAAAUCAGCCCUUUUUUUACCGGUAAAGACUACCCAUACAACAGAAGAUUAUGCUAAGUUGUAUCUUCAAGAGGUAGUUAGACUUCAUAGGGUUCCAGUUUCCAUUAUUUCAGACAGAGAUGCAUAAUUUAUUGCGCAGUUCUGGAAAUCUUUUCAGAAAGGCUUAGGUUCAAAUGUGAACUUAAGUUCUACUUUUCAUCCUCAAACAGAUGGUCAAGAAGAGCGCACUAUUCAGACCUUAGAGGAUAUGUUGAGGGCUUGUCUGAUUGAUUUCAAAGGUAAUUGCGAUGAUCACCUACCUCUUAUUGAAUUUGCUUACAACAAUAGUUAUCACUCUAGCAUCCAAAUGGCUCCUUAUGAAGCUCUUUAUGGGAGAAGGUGUAGAUCUCCUAUUGGAUGGUUUGAAGUUGGUGAAGAUGGGUUGAUAGGACCAGACUUAGUUCAUCAAGCUAUGGAGAAAGUGAAAAGUCAUUCAAGAGAGGUUGAAAAACGGCACAGAGUCGUCAGAAAUCCUACACUGAUGUUAGGAGAAGGGAGUUAGAGUUUGAAGUAGAUGAUUGGGUAUACAUGAAAAUUUCACCAAUGAAUGGUGUUAUGAGAUUUGGUAAGAAGGGGAUGCUUAGUCCCCGAUAUAUUGGUCCUUACAGAAUAUCCAAGAGGAUUGGCAAUGUAGCUUACGAGUUAGAGCUACCAAAAGAGUUAGAAGUGGCUCAUCCGGUAUUUCAUAAUUCCAUGUUGAAGAAGUGCAUGUGAGAUUCUUCACUUAUCAUACCAACUGAAGAUAUUGGAUGUUAAGUUAGAGAUUUUGGUCAACUUCAAACGACCAUAACUCCUAGCUCAGGAUGAUUUAGGUGUACUUCUAGAUACCGUAGGAAAUAUCUUGGAAUUAUCUUUCAAACGCCACCGAGUUUGCGCGAUUCCGAGUUCGUAUAAGUGAGAUAUGCCUAUUUGAAGUUGGGCUAUCCAAAUAAGGAAAGUGUAAACCGGAAUUUGGAAGGGUAUUUUAGUCUUUUCCUUACCCAUUUAUUUUAAGUCGUUUUUAGGAGUUUAUUUGGGGUCUAAUCAGAAUUACACCAGUUUAGAAAAGUUGAAGUUCACGCUAGGGCUUGGAGAAAAGAGAAAAGAGGAGAAAGGAGAAGAAAAGUCAAGAUUCGUCAAGUUCUUCAAGAAUCGCUUGUGGUUUUCGUCAAGGGGUGAUCCCCACAAGGUAUGUUAGAUCACAUAGCAUUGGGUUAGUUCACCCACGCGCCAAUCAUGAUUCAAUUCCGCGAAGUAUAUUGAUUUGAAAGUAAAUCUUAUGAGUUCUUGAUGAAAUUCAUUUGAAAUCUUAUGGGUUCUUGUCGUUCAAGUUCCUUGAGUUUGAUUCAUGAUUUUAGGUGUGAUUUCGAGUAGAAUCUGGUGUAUUUUUAUGGUAUAGUUGAUUCUAACUGUUUGGGAAAGAACCAAGUCGAAAUAGGGGGUUUAGAGAUGAAAAACGAAGAAGAAAAGUUGAAACCCACCUGGCAGGGGCCUGGGGUGCCGCCCUAGCCAGAGUGCCCCAAAAGGGGCUCUGAAGUUUGGGCUCUGGGGCGCCGCGCCAUCCAGAGCGCCCCAACCCAACCCCUGAAGUUUUGCCUCUGGCGCCCCACGUCGCUCAGAGCGCCAGGGACGCCAGGUUUCCCACCAUUUCCCCCUUCUUUCCGUACUAGUUCCUUAGCAACGUACCUAUGUUUUCUAGUCGAUUUCUAUACUCUAAGGUACCUCUAAACAUCAAGAAAUCAUCAAUAACAUGAGAUCAUGAACCUUGAAUCCCUAAUCCAAUUCAAGGAAAGUUAAGAUUAAAGUCAAGAAAAGUAAGAGUCAAGUCAAGAAAAGUUCUUAGAGUUUUCCAAANNNNNNNNNNNNNNNNNNNNNNNNNNNNNNNNNNNNNNNNNNNNNNNNNNNNNNNNNNNNNNNNNNNNNNNNNNNNNNNNNNNNNNNNNNNNNNNNNNNNNNNNNNNNNNNNNNNNNNNNNNNNNNNNNNNNNNNNNNNNNNNNNNNNNNNNNNNNNNNNNNNNNNNNNNNNNNNNNNNNNNNNNNNNNNNNNNNNNNNNNNNNNNNNNNNNNNNNNNNNNNNNNNNNNNNNNNNNNNNNNNNNNNNNNNNNNNNNNNNNNNNNNNNNNNNNNNNNNNNNNNNNNNNNNNNNNNNNNNNNNNNNNNNNNNNNNNNNNNNNNNNNNNNNNNNNNNNNNNNNNNNNNNNNNNNNNNNNNNNNNNNNNNNNNNNNNNNNNNNNNNNNNNNNNNNNNNNNNNNNNNNNNNNNNNNNNNNNNNNNNNNNNNNNNNNNNNNNNNNNNNNNNNNNNNNNNNNNNNNNNNNNNNNNNNNNNNNNNNNNNNNNNNNNNNNNNNNNNNNNNNNNNNNNNNNNNNNNNNNNNNNNNNNNNNNNNNNNNNNNNNNNNNNNNNNNNNNNNNNNNNNNNNNNNNNNNNNNNNNNNNNNNNNNNNNNUUCAGUUCCUUUCAAGCUUAUGUCUUGUUUUAGAAUUCCCCUCGCAUACUCGUACAUUCAAUAUACUGAUGUCAUUUGGCCUGCAUGUUUUAAUGAUGCAGACACAGAUUACCAGGAUCAGCAUACAGCGCAUCAUUGAUUCUAGUUGAGCUCCAGAGUUGUUGGUAAGCUUCCUUGCUUCCGGAGGACUCCUUUUAUUGCUUUUCAGUAUUCAGUUCCUUAGGAUGUCGUGAAUCUUGUCCCGACAUCCCUCCUUAUUUUAGAGGCUUCAUAGAUAGUCAGACAGUUAGGUAUGAGUCUUUUAGCUUUGUAUUUCAGAUGUUUUGCUAUGAGACUUAAGUAGCCAUUUUGGCUAGUUUGAAUGCUUCCUUUAAAGACAUUCUAAGAUUUUCACAAGUUCUUUAUUUGAGGUUAUUUCUGAGGUUUAAGUCUUCCGCUGAAUAAGUAAGUCAAGUCAAGGGUUUGAUUGGGUCCAGCAAUGGUUCUCGAGUGCCAGUCCCGCCCAGGGUGUAGGCUUGAGGGGUGACAACUUCGACCAAACCAAGUAGGUAGGCUCCAUCUUGUUCUAUAUUUUCCACUGUCUGUAUUCAUAUUAAGUGAUGUAUAAUCUUAGAUUUUGAGAAAUAAUUUGAAGCAUAUGUAAUUCAUAUUAAAGUAAAACGUGAAAAAAAUAAAAUAUUCUUCUCAUAUGCUACAAUUUAAGUAAAAAUUUUCACAUGCAAUAACAUUCAGGGGCAGAGCCACGUUGUCGUCGAAAAAUUAUACUAUCUAUACACGUAAAAUUUUGACUUUAUAUUGGUAAAUAUAGUAUUUUGGGCACCCUGAAAUAACAAAGUAACUUGUAGUGGAGUUGGCUAGAGCUGUCGCAAACCCACUCGCUACCCCAGUUUGAUUUCCCGCAUGAGCGUUUCCAUAUUUCUGUAAUUAUUUUGCCUUCUUGAAGUUAAUAAGUAAAUAAACAUGCAUAACUUUAACAUAAAUGUUCAAUAGCUUGGUGGUAAAUAGUGUUAAGCUUGUCUUCAGUGACCCAAGUUCAAUUCUCACCUCCAAUAAGAAAUUAUUUUCAAUUAAAAUUGAAUUAUUUCCUUAAAUUUUAAUACAUUUUCCUUUUGAAAUAAGGUUUUCUUUCUCUAUAAAUAGGAGACCCAUUUCCUUAAAUCGGCUCAUUUUAUUCAUUGUUUUGCUCAUCAACUUCAACUAACUUUUGUUGUAGUUUCAAAAAACUGUGUUCAAGUGGGAGAACUUGUGUUAUUGGUUUCAAAUAUUUUGAAUGUGUUGGGAGUUUAUUUUAAACGAAUGGAUGAAUUACGACAAUCUCAAAAAGAUAAUCUUCAAAAUGCAUUAGAUAUGGAUGAAAUAGCAACAAGUAGAGGCUUGAAUCAAGAACUAGAUCUUAUUAGAGCCGGCGAUACUCGUUGGGAAUCUCACUACAAAGCAUUUCAAAACUUUAUACUUUUGUUUGACUCUAUUAUUGAUGAUGUUGAUACACUUGUUGAAGAUGCAAAUACUUCAGAUGAAAGAGCCAAAAAACAUCAGGAUAUCUUAAAAGUUUUCAAACAUAUGAGGUUGCUUUCAUGUUACAUUUGAUGAAAGAUAUUUUGGGAAUCGCUUAUGAUCUUAAUAUAUCACUACAGAAAAAGGAGCAAGAUAUUGCAAAUGUCAUGAUACUUGUUGAAGUAGCCAAAAAAAAGGCUUCAAAAACUAAGAGAUAAUGGAUGGGAGCCACUUAUAAAUAAAAUAUCUAUAUAUUGUAUCAAACAUGACAUCUUGAUAGCCAAUUUUGAUGAGCCCUAUGCUAACUUUGGAAGAUCACGACGUAAAAUUGUUGAUCAUACUGUUUUACAUCAUUUUCCUGUGAAAGUAUUUUAUAAGAUUAUUGAUUGGCAACUUCAAGAACUUAAUGAUCGUUUCAAUGAGGUGACAAGUGAUUUGUUUUAUCGAGUAGCUUGCUUGAAUCCAGUUAAUUCAUUUUCUAGUUUUGACAUCUGAAAAAUAAUGAGAAUGGCUGAAUUAUAUCCUGAUGACCUUGAUCAAUUUAGUAUGGGAUUCCUUCACAAUCAGCUUGCCAAUUACAUUAUCGAUGCACGCGAUAUUGAUAAAAGAUUCUCUGAUUUAGGUGGACUUGGUGAACUUUCAAGAAAAUUGAUAGAGACAAAGAAAAAUUUAACUUAUCCACUUAUAUCCCGCUCAGUGAAAUUUGCUUUGCUUUUGCUAGUUGCUACUGCAACCGUUGAAAGAGCAUUCUCAGCAACGAAGUAUAUCAAAAAUGACUUGCGAAAUCGAAUGGAUGAUGAGUUUUUAGACGGUUGUAUAGUGUCUUAUGUAGAAAAGAAAGUAUUUCGUACUAUUUCUAAUGAGUCUAUUAUAAAAACAUUUCAGGAUAUGAAACCUCGUCGAGUACAAUUAUAAUAGCAUAUUUAAAUUAUGCUUUCAAUAGUAGUUCAUUUUGUCUUUAUGUCAAUUUUGAAUUAUACACUUGUUAAUUCUAUUAAGAAUAUUCUUAUAUUUAAUUAAAUAUUACUUAGCUUGAUUAUUUGUUUUGGUAUUUUAAAUCGUCGUUCUUUUCUUAAAAAAAUUACUAUAAAGUUUGGACACCCUUCACUGAUAACAUUAAUAAUUAUAUUAUUUAUGUAUAUUAUACCUACUAAAUACAUUUGUAUAUUUAAAAAAAAAGCAACAUUUAUAGUUUUUUAAGUAAUGAAGAAAAAAAAUCUUAAAAUAAUUACGUAUAAGAAAGAGAAAAAUUAUAAAAUCAUGUUCUUUUAAUUUUUCAUAUACUUGACGGUGCAGAUAUAAUGAGGAUGACGCUAAUUAGCUAUAGCUAAGUUAAGCAGAAAGUGAGAGAUAUUCCAAAAAAAGAGAGAAAAUAUUGAGGACGAUUUCAGAGCAACUCUAUUUUAUUUUUCUUUUGACUUAGUUCUAAUUACAUAGAAUGAUCAAAUUGAUAUAACGUCACACUAUUUUAAAUUUAUUUGUUAGUCAUAUUCUAGAAGAUUAAAAUGACUAAUUCAUUCUAGUCAAUCUAAACUUCAUUAAUUAAAUGAGAUAGCCAUGUUCAUAUCUUUCAAGACACGCAUGGUGCUAAUUAAUUGUAGCCCUAGAGAUUAAUUUUUAAAAAAAGCACAUGAAGGAGAAGAAGGGAAACAAUAAUUUAAUUACUUACAUAUUGUGUGGAGAUAGUUCAACACUCCCAAGUAGAACAUUAUCUUUUUAACCCAAAAGUCUUAAUAAAUUGCAUGUGUUUAAACUAGAACAUUUUAACCUUAUUUUUAAUCAUAACAUCACUGAUCAAAAUGAUGUAUGUGAAGAAGGAAGAUCAAGUUUUGUUAAGAUAAUUUAGGUCAAAGAGAAAAUUGUUAGGCUAUUUUGCCCUAAUUUUUAACCAUAGUUUAUGUAUUUUUUUUUAUUAUAUGCAAGUCAAAUAUUGGCUAUAUAUAUAUAUAUUGUCUGAUUUAUUGUUGUCUAAGAUUUACAAUUAUUAGAUUUUGUAUUAUGUCUUGUUAUUUCAAUCCCAACACAUUUAUGAAAUUUACUCUUUGCACGAGUCAUUUUUGAGUCAAUUUCCUAAAUAGUUAUAGCCACUCAAGUUGAUGAAUUUAUCUAAUAAAAUUAUUUUACUUUAUUUUGUAAUAAGAAAUCAACUAAGUAAUUUAUUCCUCUGAAAGUCAACAACUAGGAUCCACAGAUAUUUUCUUACGUAUCUAUUAAGAUAAGCAGACAGUGAGAGAUAUUCACCAAAAAAAAAAAUGAGUAGAGGGUUUUUAGAAGCACACUUAAUUUAAAAACCAAUUUAUUCUUUUUGACUUAGUUCUAGUUGGAUAAAAUGUGAUAUAAACGUCACACUAUUUUAAUUUAAUUGUUAGGCUUUGUCAAGGAAAAAAACUAGUAAUUUAUAUUAUAGUCAAUGUAACAUAAAAGAUAAAAGAUAAAAUGUGAUAUGAACUUCAUUGAUGAUCGAAGGACAAGGGAGGUCAGAAAAAUAAAAGAUAUAGAACUUAUUAUUUUUAUACCGGAAAUAAAGAAGUAAUUCAUAUUAUUAUAUCAUUCUAGAUUAGACCAUAAAGAAGAUAUUAAAAUUAUACAUACGAAACAUGUAAAAAAAAACAUAUAUACUAUCAGUUAUUUGACAUAGCUGCUAUAACAUAUUCCCCAUGUCCCUAAUUACUUGUCCACUUUUCAUUUUUUAGUUGUCCCAAAUUACUUGUUCAUUUUGGCAAAUCAAGAAAGGACAAUUUGUGUUUACCUAUUAUACCCUCAAUUAAUUACUACUUUUAAAAAGAUAGUAACUUCUUGAAAAUCUUAAGUUUUUAAUUCAUCCACUUCAUAAUUAAUAGAGGUAAAAUAGAAAACUCACUAUGUCAAUAAUUAUUUUCUUAAUAAGUAUGUCAAUUCAAAAGUGGACAAAUAAUUAGAGACAGAGGGAGUAUUAUAUUAUCAUAUUACAUAUCAAUCUCAAGGACGUCUUAACCCCUCGGCCAUUAAAGUCAAUUGCUUGAGGUCCUAUGUUUUUGGGGGACUCCCAUUUUAAAAAAAAAAAUUAUAUGUACUAUGAGUGCUAUGAUGUCUACUAAGGAAAUUGCAUAUGAGAUGAAUAUAGAACCUGAAUUUUGUAAGAAACAAUUUGAUAAAGAUAUUGAUAGUGAAACCACAAAGUCCCUUGAAAUUAGAGUUGAUUACUUUAUAUAUAUAGUAGAUCAAGCUAUUUUUUCACUUCAAAAUAGAUUUGAACUAAUUGAAGCAUAUGAAAAUAUUUAUGAUUUCUUAUUUAGUGAAAAAUUGAGAUCACUAGAUAAUGAGAAUAUUUUAAAAAACAUUGUCUUAACCUUGAACAUUCUUUAACACAUAAUAGUUAUUCUGAUAUUGAUUUAUUUUUUGAAUUAAAAUUGUUAAGAGAAGUAAUACUAGUAGAAGAUAAUGAUUUAAUAAAAAUACUCAAUCAAAUAAAAAGACUUGAUUCUUUUCCAAAUACACAUAUUGCUUAUAGGACAAUGACACAAUGUUAACUGUUCAUGUAGUCGUUGCCUCAACCGAAACAAGUUUUUCGAAACUAAAAUUGAUUAAACUUAUUUUAGAUCAACAAUGUCUCAAGAGAUAUCGAAUGGAUUAACCAUAUUAUCAAUUGAAAAGGAAUUAUUAAAACAAAUCAAUUAUAAAACAGUAACGGGUAAAAAACAUAAAAAUCGUGUAGCUAUUUAUUUUAUAAUAAAUUUUCAUAUUUGUAAUUAAAAUGUUAAUGUUGUAAAUAAAAAGACUAGAAUAAUAUUAUUUAAAUAAAGGUCUUAAAUAGUGUAUUCUUGUAAUUUUUCCAACAAUAACUAAUGACUUCGCAUCUAAAAAAAUCAGAAAGUAGAUUUUAAAUAAAAGUAUAUAUGAUGAAAAAAUAAAAUAUUAGAAUCCCUCUCUUAAAUUUCGCUUUAGGCUCUCAAUCUUGUUGAGUCAGCCCUGAUCAAUCUUUAUAAUUUGUGAUUAUUUUUUCUAAUAAGAUAGUAUUCCCUUUCACUUCCAUAAAUCAAACCAAAGACUAUGGAAAAAAUGAUUACAGUGGAGGAAAUAAACUCACACUAAUAUACACAUGUACAUACACACAAAACACGUAUUUAUAUUUAAAAAAUACACAAAAGCACAUACUUAUGUUAUUUUCUACAAUAAACAAAGUACUUCAUCAUACAUUCUCUCUCUUUUUUUUGUUUAUUUCUUAUGAUUAACACCAUGUAAAAGAAUGAUCUUCUUAACUGUUAGACAUAAUACCAUUAAUCUUUACAUCAUUUGAUAAUUUGUUCAUGGACAAAGCUGCAUUAAGAAACUCAUCAAUUGCUCUAAUAGAUGACCCUUUGAAACCCUCAUCAUCUAUAAUAGCAUUACUUAUCAUUUCUCUAACUUCACAAGCUUUCCUUCUAAUUUCAUUCCCUUUCUCAUUUAUCCCCAUAACAACCUCAAUUUUUUCCAAUAUAUCCUCAUGCUUAACUUGAGAAUUAUUCCCUCUAGCUACCUCAACACAAACACCAACAUCUUUUUCCAAGAACUUUGCAUUGUAAAAUUGCUCUGCUGCAAUAGGCCAACCAAGAAGUGGCACUCCAUUUUCAAGUGAUUCCAAUACUGAAUUCCAUCCACAAUGUGUCAAGAAAGCUCCGACUGAUUUGUGUGCCAAGAUUUCAACCUAUUGUGACAAAAAAUGAAAAUAUGGUUACACGCUUAUCUGAUAUUAGAAUAGAUAAGAGGUAUCGGGUUCAAAUCUCAUAGAAAAUUGAAAAGUAAAAAAUAUGUUCACCACGUGUUUGGUCCAAGUAAAAGAAGAUAUUAAAUAAUUGAAAGUGUGAAAUCUCUGACAAUUUAUACUUUCAAAUAAGUUGAUCGCAAACCUGAGGAGCCCAUUUCGGCACUAUGAGUCCCCUAUUUUGAUCCUUGAAAACACGUUGAACAAACCCCUCAGGAAGCCACUCCUCUGCUCUGAAUUCCAUGUUUAUGUCAAAACCCAAAGGAGGUCUAACAGCCCAUAUAAAGUUUACUCUACUAGCAUUAUCCAAGGCUAUUGCCAAUUCCAUCAUUUGUGAUGCUGAUAUUCUGUUCUGAGAGCCAAAAGAAAUGUAAAGUACUGAUUCUUCUUCUUUUUCAUCAAGAAAUUUGAUGAACUUCUCUGUUUCUUCCACUGUUUCAUUACCAGCUCUUUGUUUAUUACUUGUUGGCCAAGGUAUUGGUCCUAUUGCCCAAACAGGUAUUCCUAAUUUUCGACGAAAAUAUGUUAAUCCAAGCUUGUCUAGACCUUCAAUUGUAUUGAAAAGAAUCCCAUCAGAGUUAAUCCAGUUAGGAAGAUUUUUCCAGUUGAAAUUUGUGUAAGGAUCAUUAGAAUCAGC